rnacentral:rRNA from 1 species
UACGUAGGGUGCAAGCGUUGUUCGGAAUGACUGGGCGUAAAGGGCGCGUAGGCGGGUCUGUAUGUCGAUUGUGAAAGCCCUGGGCUCAACCUGGGAAUGGCAGUCGAAACUGCAGAUCUUGAGUGCCUGAGAGGAUGGCGGAAUUCCCGGUGUAGAAGUGAAAUUCGUAGAUAUCGGGAAGAACACCUGAGGCGAAGGCGGCUAUCUGGCGGUGCACUGACGCUGAGGCGCGAAAGCGUGGGGAGCAAACAGG